rnacentral:rRNA from 1 species
UCUAAGUAUAACCUGCCAGACAGGGAAACUGCGUACGGCUCAUUACACCAGCCUUAAUUUACUUGACCUUGACAACAUACUUGGAUAACUGUGGUAAUUCUAGAGCUAAUACAUGCACCAAAGCUCCGAUCCUCGCGGAGAGGAGCGCAUUUGUUCACCACAAAACCAAGCGCCCAUCUGGGCGUCCAGUGCUGAACCAGAACAACUCAGCUGAUCGCACGGUCUUGUACCGGCGACGUGUCUUUCAAGUGUCUGCCUUAUCAACUUUCGAUGGUAGUGUACCUGACUACCAUGGUUGUGACGGGUAACGGAGGAUAAGGGUUCGACUCCGGAGAAGGGGCCUGAGAAAUGGCCACUACGUCUAAGGAUGGCAGCAGGCGCGCAAAUUACCCACUCUCAACGCGAGGAGGUACUGACGAGAAAUAACGAGACCGUUCUCAUACGAGGCCGGUUAUUGGAAUGGGUACAAUUUAAA